rnacentral:rRNA from 1 species
UACAGAGGCCUCGAGCGUUAGGCGGAAUCACUGGGCUUAAAGCGUGUGUAGGCGGAUUGGUAAGUACCUUGUGAAAUCCCACAGCUUAACUGUGGAACUGCUCGGUAUACUGCUGAUCUUGAGCCACUCAGGGGCUACCGGAACAAAUGGUGGAGCGGUGAAAUACGUAGAUAUCAUUUGGAACGCCAAUGGUGAAAACAGGUAGCUGGGGGUGUGCUGACGCUGAGACACGAAAGCCAGGGGAGCAAACGGG